rnacentral:rRNA from 1 species
UACGUAGGUCCCGAGCGUUGUCCGGAUUUAUUGGGCGUAAAGCGAGCGCAGGUGGUUUAUUAAGUCUGGUGUAAAAGGCAGUGGCUCAACCAUUGUAUGCAUUGGAAACUGGUAGACUUGAGUGCAGGAGAGGAGAGUGGAAUUCCAUGUGUAGCGGUGAAAUGCGUAGAUAUAUGGAGGAACACCGGUGGCGAAGGCGGCUUACUGGGCUUUAACUGACGCUGAGGCUCGAAAGCGUGGGUAGCAAACAGG